UGUUCAUCUGAGCUGUGGGUACAACACCAUUCCACACACAAGCCUGUUAAUGAACCUAAAUAUGAGCCAGCAGACCACUCCAACAAAUCAUGACUAGCCUGGGCUGAGCCGCUGUAGUCCGGCCGGCUGGCCCCAAUCUGCUGGAGGCGGGGCACGUCCACAGAGGUCAGCCAUGACAGGGACUGCAGGUCACCCGGGAGGUCCUCCUUGUUCAAUUGAGAGGGGUCUGUGGGGUAGCUGGAGUGGACAGGACACGCUACAGUGACACUCAGGGGUUUGAACCGGCUGUUAAACCUCACAGGACCCUAGAUGUACAACCGACCAUCUGGAGAGAUUUCCGCGAUGUGACUGAGUAGACCACCUGUCCGAGAAAAGCUACUGACCUGGGAUUCUUUCCAUUUACCUCAGAGUCUUACUGAAGGAUUAGCAAGAUGCAGGUAUGGUGCUGGCACGAUCGCAAACAAAUGCAACCUGCAAUCUAUGCUCCUUUCCAUGACUUUCUUAUAGUCUCUGUAUUAUUCUUGAGACGACAACUUAUGGACCCUUUGUGAAGGAUGUAUUGGUUUCUGAGAACAAAGCAGUUCACACAACAAUAGCUUUUAUUCGAGGUAAUUGACUGAACAUCGGGCCCAUUUACAGCGAUGCCCUGAGAUGUUUGGUUCAAACAGUGUGGGCUUAUACGUCAUGUCUAUACUUGACUUCUUUACUUUCAAUUUUGUCUGCUCAAUUAUAAUAGAUGAUCAAUAGUUAACUCUUUUUAGCUUGGUCGCUGCUUCAUACCUGAUGGUGUUGAUGUUCAGGUGUGUUUACUCUAAUGUCCUGGGCCAGGCAUACUGUAAAGACCCGGUCAAGAGUGUGUACCUCUGCACGGCGGUGUCCUUGUGACCCAUUUCCCUCUUGUUCCUGUUUCUGUGCCGUGCGUGUGUGUGUUCCUGUGGCCCAUUUGUCUUAUGAGCAGGUGUAAGUGGAUCCUGCCGUCUCCGUGGAGAGAUAGCCCCUUGGGCCGCCGUGGUAAAGAGACACACUCACUUCUCCCAGAUGAGACAGAUAGGCUUCCCUCCCCCUCUCUGCUGUAGUGACUUGGCUUAGGCUCCAUUGCAUCUUCUAUUGCUUUUCUCUCUCUCUCUCUCUCUCUCU